rnacentral:lncRNA from 1 species
UGGCAACUGAAAGUUUCAGUGUGAAAAUUGUUAACUAAUCUAACCUCAAUAUAUAUGCACAUUGAAGGACAAAUAUAAUUACCGACUGUACAAUAGGACCUGAUAAGGAAACAUCAAAGGAUAUGAUCUAUUACAUACAUCUAUGAUAUUCUGUAUGUCAUCUUGGUCUGACACCCACAAUACAUGCCAGUCUUAAGUUUACACAUGUUAUGUCUAUAACACAAUUGUUUAGGUUCAAUUUUUCAAAUUCAUAACAUUCUACUAUAAAAAGUCACAUUCAUUUUAGUAUCUACAUUAGUCAUCUUCAAUGUAAUAGCUACAUGGGUCCUGAGGUCUUAUAAAUUCUAUACUUCGAUAAAUGUUAGAUAUUAAUAAUCAUACCAUUAGCAGUGGCGGAUCCAGGAGGAGGGUUCCGGAGGUUGGAUGAUCAAUGCAUUUGAAUGGGGACAUAUAGUUGGAACCUCCCUUUGUCCUGGGUUAGGAACCCCCUCCCCCCUUUUUAAAAUGGCUGCAUAGGCCCCUGAUUAGGGUUGUUAGUAAAAUAAGGCCACAAGACUUGCAAACCCAGAGAACUAUAAAAGCAGUUGAAGAAUUAUGGAGAGGAUCAGUCUUUCAAAGUUGUUCUAAAAUCAGGCA